CUAGCUAUUCGGAUGUUUAAACUUUGAAGGACUGAGUUUUAGUAGUGUCUAGCCUUUCUGUUAUCAAUAGUGGAAGUUACAGCUUAGACAAGUUAUUCCGCUUUCGAAUUUUUUAGUUGAAGCGAAAGGUGCCUAAGAUCUUACUGCAGCACGUUUAGAUGACUGAAUGUGACACCAGACACGAUGAAUCGGAAGGGUUCCAUAGACAGGGCAGUGUGUCCAGCCAACAAGACCUGGUUCAGUGGGAAAAUGCCUCCGUUGAAACAUGCACUGUAAUAAGCUUGCUCGACUAUGGUCUGGAGAUCAUACAGGUUCGGAGAGACGCAUACAGGGAGCACUGCAGGCUAAGGACUGCACGGACAAAUGGAACAAUAACGACUAUUAUUACGGGUAGCAAGGCUAAUGGGCUGAUCCGCUUCCUUGAAAGUGAUAUAGACAUCAUGUUUGUACGCAAUAAUUUCGUUUGUUUAGAAGAUUGUGUUAGUGCUGAUACAUUUCCUAGAGAGAUAACCGUGUUUAGAUCAUACAGUCGUACGAGUUACCCUGGGCACUGUUGACUGCUACUAGAAAGACGCGGUACAACGACUGACCGGAACGUAACCGAUGCGUUGUGUGAUGAUGGGCAUGGUCACGAACUCCGGAGCAGUGACUUAUUUGUACAUAACUGUAGGAAAUGUAAAUUCAUGAAAGGCAUAGUACAGCAUGAUCGCUCGGGGCCGUCAAUGCCUAAUGCAUUGUCCGGUAUAUUACACACAGACAUAGUAGAUGCAUUUCGUUAUCACUGCCCCAGCAUCCUGUCUAAAUGGGCCGCAAGACCUUGCCACUGGCCGCUACCGUAUGUCGUUCAGCAGGUCGUAUCACUUGGGGCAUUUCUUACGCCUGUUGGAUUUAAAGGUAGGGAAUAUCAACAUGUUGAAUGGAGAGUUUGUUUCAACGCCGGUGAGAUCAAACUAGUAUACAAUCUUAAUGAAACUCAAAUUAAAUUGUAUUUUCUAUUAAAAAUGGUCAAAAACGAUGUUUUAAAUCCACAUAAGAAAGAAGUUUCAUCUUACACGUUAAAAAACAUUGUUUUAUGGAUAGCGGAAAAUAAUCCUCAGUCUUUGUUUCAUGAAAGAAGAUUGUUGCACUGGUUGCAUGUAGCAUUGGGUGCGCUAAGAGUUGCGUUGAAUACCCGAGAGUUGCCGUACUACAUGAUUCCAGAUAGAAAUCUGAUGGCAGCGUCUGAACUGGAUGAGGAACAGCAAAGUUUAUGGAUAUCAACGAUUAAAGAAAUGAUUAAUGAAGGACCCAGGAUGAUACUAAGACUUCCGAAGAUACGACAAGCCCUUAUCGCUCAUCCUGAACCAUUUCGAUGAUACAUCAGAAGGAGAAUGGAGCUGGAAUUGCUGAUGCUCCUGAACAUUAACAGAAUGAUCCUCUGCGGGGAUGAGAGCGGGGAGGUUGACGAGACCGAUGCGAUUCUGCAGGCAUUAUUCACACGAAUGAACGAGGUUAUAAAACAGGUGUGCGUGAGGAUGAGAAUGGAAGGGAGUCGCGUUAUCAACGCGGAUGCCAUUUCUGAUAGAAUUAUGAUGUAAAACGUUAACGAAGACCAAUUGAUCAUUAACGAGGAACGGAAAACUUAUUCAUAAAUUUUGAGUACAUAUAAUCUUUGAAGUAUCGAUGAGUAUUGUUGAAAAUAACGUGAUAAUUCAACGACUUAUCGUAAUAGUGAUUUCUUCAGUAAUUGAUGUUUGACUUGCAGACGUGCGUUUCACAUUUUAAAAAUGUGAACAGUUUUACAGAUGCUUUGUCUACAGACGGCUGUAACCUUGACAAUAACAAUACUUUUGAUAUACUUUAUCAAAACAAUUUCAAUCUUCUAGCUAAUCAUAGUUUGUAAUAUAACGUUGUAUAAUAGCUACAUUUUAUAUGAUCGUACACUAAUAUGCAUGUAUCACCUUUGGAAACUAGUGGUUUCAUAUCAGCGUUUGCAAAUGAAUCUAUUUAAAACUUAUAUUAUUUACUAGCAUUUUGUCUAUUUAUGUAGUUAUGCGACUUGUGUUUAUUUGAGUAUGCGUGUUAGGAAAUAAAUUGUUUUUUUAUUAGUCGUAUUUCCGUCUUUCGAGCUUCAUUUGCACGUGUGUCUAGGUUGGUAUUGUUUACGCAUUUGUACUUAUUCAAUUUAUGUGUUGCUGGUAGUCCACUUUUAAUGUUCUAAUCGCAGUAAUCGCAGUACAUGUAAAGAUAGCAUUCUCGUUUUUCUCGUUGAUAAUAAACAGUAAUUGUGAUCGGCAAUAUUGUGGACAGCGUAUUGAUCACAUUAAUGAUGCAGUUAUCGUUAAAAAAUUUGAUAUCUGUGUUCAUUCCUACCUCUUCAAUGUCUUAAAAAGCGCAAUUGUUGCAUCCAUAUAUAAGAAACAUAGUGCCGUUGUUAUUUGCAAAUCGAGUAAAUUACUUCUCAUAUGAAUUUAUUAUUGCUCGCGGUUUUGGCAGAACAAGUUAACGUAAACUUUUAAUAAACACGGAUAAACUGAUCUCAUCAAAACCCAUAUAUUGUAUUUUACCUAAAGAUACGUAGAUAUAGAUAAUCUAGUAAUACCGUUAAACUCGUUUUUGCUCUAAGCGUAUGCAUGCUUGUGUCAAUUUUAUAGCGUGAUUACCGUAUUGCUUAAGUCAUGGGUGUUUUUUUGUGUUAUUUACCCCUUUAUUCUGUUGGCUUCCUAUUGCAUUUAUAUAAAAUGGCAAGUUUUAAGCAACGUUUUCCAUGAACUCGCAAUAGGUUUAAUGCUAAACAAAUUAUAUUUCAGAAGAUGAAUUUAUACGUUUUGUUUAAAUGUCGCUUUGAUAUAAAGGACGAAAAUUAAUCAUAUUUUAUUGUAUUUCCAAUACAAUAUGUGAUCUUAUU